rnacentral:rRNA from 1 species
GACGAACGCUGGCGGCGUGCUUAACACAUGCAAGUCGAACGGAAAGGCCCUGCUUUUGUGGGGUGCUCGAGUGGCGAACGGGUGAGUAACACGUGAGUAACCUGCCCUUGACUUUGGGAUAACUUCAGGAAACUGGGGCUAAUACCGGAUAGGAGCUCCUGCUGCAUGGUGGGGGUUGGAAAGUUUCGGCGGUUGGGGAUGGACUCGCGGCUUAUCAGCUUGUUGGUGGGGUAGUGUCUUACCAAGGCUUUGACGGGUAGCCGGGCUGAGAGGGUGACCGGCCACAUUGGGACUGGGAUACGGCCCAGACUCCUACGGGAGGCAGCAGUGGGGAAUAGUGCACAAUGGGCGGAAGCCUGAUGCAGCAACGCCGCGUGCGGGAUGACGGCCUUCGGGUUGUAAACCGCUUUCGCCUGUGACGAAGCGUGAGUGACGGUAAUGGGUAAAGAAGCACCGGCUAACUACGUG